UAUUCAAGCAUCAGCACCAAAUAGGUGUCGACGAUCUUCUCUAGGGGACAAACCAGUUGACUCCACCUUUUCAGGUCUAAAUGAAUCGAGGAGUGUCCAGAACACCUCCUGUUCAUCCAUCCACAAAGACACCAAGGCAAUGGCUGUAGAGCGCUAACUGGAGAGAUUGCAUGGUUUGAUGUUCUACACUUUUUUUCUUCAGUCAUGACUCAUGACAAAUCAGAAAAUAGAGAGUCAUGCUGACACAUUCUUGUUGUAUAUUAUGAGAAAAGGAAUGGUAGGUGGUGGAAACCUUCGAAGGUCAUUCGGUUAAAGAUUGAGCUUCCCUCCCAUUCAAAACUUUUCAUGGUGUAACAUCUUCUAUGCUCUUUUUGAUA